AGUAAAAUUGCUAGAUUAUAUGGUAAGACUAUGUUUAGUUUUAUGAGAAACUGUCAAAAUGUCUUCCAAAGUGGCUGUACCAUUCUACAUUCCAACCAGCAAU
rnacentral:pre_miRNA from 1 species